rnacentral:lncRNA from 1 species
GUGUGUGUGUGUGUGUGUGUGUAUUUUGGCCAGAUUCCAUCCAUGAAGUCGCACGCCAAGUUUUUAGGAGCCACACUACUAGUUGAACAACACAGCAAGCUUGUGGAUGGCUAAAAAUGGUAAUGUUGCGUCUUAAAUUAACAGUGAAAAAAGAAAAGAGCGUGUUUUCUUGUUCUUGAUUUUGAUCUAGAAAAUUGAACGAAAUGUUUUGGAUAGUUUUGCUGAGUUUCAGUUGAUUUUGUUAUUCCUGUCCUUGAAAUGUUGAUAACUGGGAACAUGCUCUUGUAAUCAUGUCCUUGAAAUGGUGGCCAUUGAAAUACGGAAAGGAUCUCCACCGGAUUCCUCGAGGAUAACUAGGAGGUUUCCUGAAGGUUCAAGGAACGCUCGAGCAACAUGGUGCCUAAUAGAGAAAGGAAAGGAAAUGUGCGCAUUAAUCAACAUAAGUUCGAAUAUGUUGUUAAAUUUUUAGGACUUGUGUGCACGAGUAUGAGGUUUAUUAUUACUAAUUAUCAUGUCAAGAUCAGAAUCCUAGGUUUAUAACUAGCCACAUAAAAGUGGUAUAGUAAAGAUAUUUUAUUUAUGUACAUAUCAUAUAACAAAUUAUAUAAAACUUUUGCAGCGUUUCAAUGAUUUUCAAAAUAUUAUAUUAUUCAAAAUCAAUAAAAUCAAAUAACACUUCAAAAAUUCUAAUAAUUAGAUAAAGCAAAACAAAUAAUUCAUAAUACUUAUUACAUUGUCAAAAUCUGAAUUUAAUUAAAACAGUGUAAUAAUGAAGUGUUUAAGAUAUCAAAUCAAAACUAAAAGGAAAGUCUCGCGAAACAAGCAAAGCAUACCGACAAAAAUAAAAAAACAUGAACACUCAACAAAGUUCACUUGCUAACGGAAACUAAGAACAUGAAAUAAUAUUAAAAAUAGAGGGGUGAGUUCAACUAACUCAGUGAGAGAAUACCAUUUAAUAUACAUUUUAGCUAUUUAUAAGUAUAAGCCAUCAAUUGUGAUAAUAUAGAAGUAAAAUGACUGAAACAAAAGUAAACAUACACAUAUUAAGCAUACUAAUAUAAAGUAGUGGAAUACAUGUCAGAGAUCAGAUGAUACCCGAAGAUGACCACUAUGGAAGGAUCAGUCAUCAUAGGCUAGUGCCUUUCUUAUCAGCUAUGUAUAUAGAAUACUAUGUGCAUAUAGAAUAACUACUCUUCGUUAGCAUAGAGUUACUAACAAGUAUAUCGAUAUCGAGACAUAAUAGAUACUCAUAUAAUUAUCAAAGCAAUGUAUAUCAUAUUGAAUAGAAUUUAGUUCAACAGAAUGAGAAUGUAAAUUCAAUAAAAUGACUAAAAUAAUCUAAUUUAACAAACCCAAUAAAACUCUAUUAUUGAGUCAACUAGUAGACCAAAAUGACCAACCGAUCGACCGCUAUCACAAGCCAACCAAUAAUAACAAGCAAACUGGUCGACCGGUUGAUUGAGAUUCCUAGAAUCUCGAUCUGCCACUCUUCAAAUUUGCAGAUCUCAAAACAAACGACUUAUUCCUCUAAAACGCAUAAUUCUAGUCAUCAAAUUAGUUUGUUUUAAGCUAACUAACAUUCCAAUGCUUUAACUAGAACUUCUAGAUCAUUCAAUCAUCAAAAUCUUAACAAAACCCUAAUUUCUUCUUUAAUCAUUCUAUAUUCAAAUUCCUAAUAAAAAAUAAUGUAAGACGAAUCAAUUAGUUGCUUCUUCAACAUUUCUUGAACCAAAACUCAAGCUAAAACUGAAAUCCUUGGUGUAUAUGGUUGUAAGUCACGACAAGGAAGAAGAAAAGAAAAGAGAAAAAGCAAAUCCUCUUGCAACCUUUUUUUUAUAUACCUAGGUUAGUUUUGUUAGGUUUGGGCUGUCAAGAGUUUGAGUCUUACAUGUCAUCUUAAUACACUUAUCAUUUAUAUUUUCUACUUUGUAUUACACUCUAUUAUAAAGAUUGAUUCUAGUUAUAUUCACCAUUUCCUACUUUGUCUCAUCAAACUUCUUGCUUCUUAAAUUGAGCAUUGACAAGCAUGUGUAUACUGGGACAAUGCUACCAUAUACAUGUUUAGUAAACCUUUUAGGGCCUAUUUAUCCAGACAACUAGGAAUCCUUUUAAGACAAAUAGGUUAGCUAACUAGCCAACAAGUAAUGGCUAGAACAUUUCCCUUAGAGUCUCCCUAUAAUACAACAUUAAGUAAGCAUGUUGUCUAUGAGAUUUCAUAAGAGAUGUGACAGGACAAUAUCAAGAUAAAAAAAAAAAACCGAUCGAUUGUGUAAGGCACACAGUUGAAACCUCCAUUAGAUUCGGAAACUAAGGACGAGAUUACCAUCGCAUCGGCUUGGAUGUCCCGAAUGCUCUCGGGUCGCCUCAUAUUUUCCUUAAAUCUAAUUAAUCAGCACCGGGUGGUGAUGGAGAUUUAUUGCGGCCUUCUCCUAUUCAUCAACUCGAACCUCAUUCUUCUGCAGUUGAUGUUACGAUCAAUCGUGCUUUUUAGGCCAUCUGCUGAUUGUCAGCUUAUUCAGCUGAUGUACUUAACAUUUUAUUAUCAAUGAAAUUGAUAAACUCUUAUAAAAAAAAAAAUGAAAACGACAUCACAAGAAAUCCAAUCAUUACAAGUUUUCAAGAUAAAAUAUUAUUAUAACCUAACAUGAAAGAGUUUUUGAAACGUAACAUGUUAUCCGAUCACUUUAAAAGUUUAUCUUAUUUUCAAAUAAAUAAAAUCUUAAGCUUAUUUUUUUUUAAAAUAGGGUUAAAAGCGUUAAACUAUUUCUAUAUUUUCUAAAAGUUUAGAUUACCUUUUUCUUCUUCUAAUUUUACCCGUUUUGAAUUAUAAUUCAUCGAGAUGUUCAUGAGACAAGAAGACCCAUGGUGGAGAAUGUCUUUGCACGUCAUGGUGGCGUGAUUAAAUUCCCUCGAGCGUGGAAAAGAACGAAGAGCAGAGCUAGUGAUCAAUAAUUAAUCAGUGCAUGUACGUAUAAUAACUUAAACCUAAAUUGACUUUCUUGUUCCCCUAAUAUAUUAUUAUAAUUUUUAAACCUAAAAUUUGAUGAAUGAUAAAGAUGACAAGGAACUGAGAGGACUUCCUUUUCCGAUCAGCUGAAGCCCAGUAGCGAAGGAAGAUGACACCACACACCGCUGAGUUACGGCCCAUUUGAGGAUUUUAUUAUGCUGGCAACAUAUAAAAAAAUUAUUUACAGAAAUGAUUAUUUUUUGCUGAUUUAGUUUUUAUUUAUAAAAAUAAUCAAACUAAAAUUUUAUAAAAUAUAAAAAAUAAAAUCUAAAUCAGUUCAAACCGACCGGUUUCGAUUCAGUUCGGUUAUUUUAUAUUAAAAAUCAAAACCCAACCGAUCUAUUUCAGUUUGGUUUUGGUUCGGUUUUGUUAUUUCAUAUUAAAAAAAAUUGUAUUGUUUUUUGGGAUUUUUUGUACUUUCUAAUGGGUUCAGUUUGGUUUUUCGGUGAUUCGGUUGAGAUUUUUCGGUUUCAAACCUGUGAAAUCAAAACUGAACUGAAUAUUUUUUUAAAAUAUUUCAAUUAAUUUAAUCGUUUUUUUUAUGAUUCGAUUUUUUUAAUUAUUUUUUAUUGUUUUCUCAGUUUAAUUGAUUUGUCAGUUUUUUACGCACUUCUAACUUCAAUAUUCAAGAAAGAAAUUUGCCGCCAAAGGAUGAAGAUUAUUUUAUAUUUAACAAAAAAAAAAAGAAUAGUCAAUUAAAGAUUAAAAACACAUGAAAAACAAUUUGGGCUGCAAGAAUUUGUCCUCCUAAUUAAUACAUUGUUGACUCUCAAGCUAGCAUGUAUGAGUAACAUUGAUUGCUCAGUAAACGUCUUUAAUUUUAUUACUAAUCUUUUGUCUAAAAAGAUAUUUUCAUGUUUAUUAUACAUCAAUUAUUUUUCUUUUCAAUAUUUAUAAAUAUUUUAUGAUAUUUUAAAAUAAAAUAAGCAUGCGAGACUGGUUGACUCGUUGCUGCCCACGGUCUCACUUAGAAAAAUAAUUUUGCAACCCUAUUUAGUAUUUAGGGCUUUUCCAUGGGUCGGGUAACUUACCCAAUCCACCCUAGAAAGAAAAACCAGGAGUAGGUCACUACUAAAACAUUUGGCCCAUUAACCAUGGUUAAGAUUAUUUCUUUUUUGUUCCUUAUCAGAAUUAUGGUUAGGGUUUUGGUUGGGUUAAGUUCAUUUUAUAUUUUACAGCUCAUUUUUCGAACUAAAAAAUAUCAAUAAAUCAGUAAUAUUUUGACUGGUUUCAAAAUAAACAAAUAAAGAUACGGCGUGCGCGUAUAAUUCUUGAAAAUAGUCUCCUUGUCCAUUAUGUUGACCACACGAGCGUAUAUAGGCUAAUCAAUAUUAUUUUUUUCCCCUUGGAAAAUGAAUUAAGUAGUCGGUGGGUUAAUAUGCAGAUAUAUUUUAUGAUACUUACAAUAUAAAAAAUAUAUAAUAAGAAGAGAGAAACAUAAGAGAUUAAAAAUAACUUUUUUAAUUAAUAGACGAGAUAAUUUUUAUAAUGUUUUGGUAAAAAUUAUAUCUCUUUCUUGGUAAGAAUUAUAAUUAACUAGUGACCUCGCAAUUAUAUUAUCCAAUAUGAGACAAAAUACAAAAAUAAUAGAGAAAAUUUAAUAGAAAAGGAUUGACAAGGGACAUUAAAAACAAGAUUGAAGUCACAAAAGGGAAUUAAUUAAAAAACUUGUAGUUUAGGAAAGAAAUUGACAGAAGUCCAAAACCUAGCCAGAACUUGGUAGUCUACGUACCGAAUGAAUUAAUUAUGCUGGUGUAUACUUAACAAUUUUUUGAUUAUCUUUCCGCUAGUUAUAAAUAAAAAAAACUACAGCCACGCGUGACCUCAAAUUCUGAGAGAAGCAGUGAUGUCAUGGAGCUCACAAGUUUCCGGAAUACUACUUUAAUGCCCAAAGCAGAUCCUGGAUCCCUCGGAAGACAAAUCGACAAGUCGAGUCAAGAUUGGCUGCUUGCAUAAGAUCAUGAAGAACCUUCGAAGAAGGAGGUGCUUAGAACAGUGACACCAUGUUCGUUUCACUUGGACCUCUCCCAUCCUUUCGCCUAAGAACAACUAGCUGCUAGCUACCUCUCUUGAUUGUGAUGUUUUCAAGCAGCAUUCACGCCUGAUAAAAUCACAAUCUUUAAUUAGCAUCGACAUUCUCCACUUGUUCAUCUAUAUUAAUCAUAAUAGAAUCACACCUUUUAAUUUGGCAAGAGGAAAAGAAACGGCGUAGUGAUGAAUACAUCAUGAACAGUGUAGUUCCAUCAACUGGGAUGUAAUGUGAUCAAAGACAGCAGCAUCAUGAGUGUAAAGAAAUUGGACAGGAACAUGCAAAAGUGGAUCAAUGAUGUCUGUAAAAUAUACAAGUCUCGGCUAGUUUAGCCAGUAGAAUGUCGCGGCAGAGUAAAGUGCACGAAUAAUUAAAGAUGUUGAAAUAAAGUCAUGCCACUUUGGAAAGGAAUUAUAGAUAGAUCCAAGAGCUGUUGAUCAUAGAGCUAGGCCCAGUAGCCAUGAAAACGUUUAGCAUUAUAUAUCGAAUGUCUCAGAUAAAUCCUUCCCCGAAGAAGGGAUGAUCCAGUGCAAAUGUAUCUAGCUAGCUAGCUAGGCUGGCCGACAACUUCCUAGUAACUUCCACAUGCUUAUCCAGGCACAUAUGUCAGGCACUACGUACCGACAUAUAAUAUAUGUAUCCAUCGCACCUUUUGCUUUCCUUUUGCCCAUUUGGAGAUAUGUGGAAUUGUCGACAUGGCUCUUCGAGGGGGAUCAAGUGACAUUAUUUUAUAGCUUUGAAUAGACAUGGAGGGAUGCUUUUUUAUUAAGAAAAGACCCUUCGUGCGCGCCAAGCAGCUCCUCUUGCCUGCAUGCAUGGUAUAUGAAUUCGAUCAAGCCACCAGGCUUGGUUUUUUUUGUUUUUUCUUUCUUCCCUCGAUGGAGGCGAAUAUCAUAAAAUAAAUUCACGGGAAUAUAUCAGCUUGGGAGCUAAUAUUCCAAUUAAAAUAUGCAAAAAGUAAGUCUAAAACUCGAGAUGAAAGGGAUUAAAUUUAAUCAGCUGUAUUUGAUUAAUUAGUCAGAUUAAUAAUAUCCAGGGUUAUGUCUAUGUCGACUAUAUUUCGCAUUUCUUUUAUUCGAAAGAAAAAUAAAAUAAAAUAAAAUCGGACCAUCAUGGGUGAGUUCACAGAGCAUGCUCUGAAUAAGAAAAAAAAAAACCCCCUGCAGCCUCCAUUUUAGUUGGGUGUCGUUGAUCUGGUCCCACGUCAUCUUCCCUGUCUUUUACGCUGGACUCAACUUCUUAUUAUUAUUAUUAUCAAUUACUAAUCGAGUGUUUCUUCCCUGGUUAAUAUUUAUCCUUAAAUAUGCGACCACCCAACCAACCAUCUUGCCCAUAGCUACGUGGAGCACACACAGGCACACCAUGUAAAUGUUCAUUAGUGUGAUGAAAUUCAAGGAAGUGGUCGUUGAAUUAUACUAAAUUUGAAAUUAUUGUCACCAUUAUUUUGAUAUCACAUGAUGCAUUACUUUGAAAUUAAAAAAAAAAAAAAACAAUAUCACGGGUGAUUAUAGUGGAAGACGACCCUUUAGGCAUACUUAAUUGGUUCUACAACUCUAGGAUACCAUUAUUUCGAGUGGUCGCGCUAUGCUGCGGUCUAAUUAAAAAUUAAUUUAAUUAUAAAAAAAAUUAUGAAUAAUAUGAAAUGUUUUAUUGAUGAUAAAAGAAUCUGGAAAGCGCAUUAAAAACUUGGCCAGUGUAUUAAAUAAAAUCAAUUAAUUAUUAUAUGUAUUAAUAAAUGUUAAAAAGAGAUGCUAACAAUAAACAAAAACUGAACCGGGAUUCCAAGCAAUAGAUGCAGAAAAAUUGUGAUUCUCAUGUGAUUCAAGAUCUUUAUUUAAUCAUGUAUCAUUUUAAAAUAGAUCAUCAUAAAUCAUAAAAAACAAAUAAAAUAUAACAUGUACAAAAAUUUAUAUAAAAAACAAAUAAAAUAUAAUAUAUACAAAAAUUUAAAACUCCAUGUGCAAGGAUUGGUAUCAUGAUAUAUAUAUAUAUAUUAGACAUGGUCAAGGAUAUCCGGUCCGAUCCAUGAUAUUAUUCUUCCCAGCUGCCAUAAGAAGGCACGACUGACUUUUCUCUUCACUCUUUUUUUUUUUUCUAAUAUGAUUUUUAUGUAAGUGCUGACGUUUAGCGACAGUAUCCAAUAUCACUAGGAGGAAAAAAAAAACAAAUAUGACGUCAUCUAUCCUACGUGGGUUCCAAUGACGCUGACGUGUAAUUCAAAGCCACUAACGACAUCUCAUUCUCCUACACCCAAUUCCAGGCUUAAAUCUCAAGACUCUCCAUUGACAACUCCAAUCUUUGGCCUCAAGGAAGUGUCUCGUACGUGCCAGUAUCCUAUUGGUGGAGCUUGAAGGGAUGAAUCAGGCUUGACUGUAGAUGAUUAGGGUUUUGACCAUGACAAAAAAAACGAAAAACAGUCAGCGAAGCCCAAGAGACAGUUGACGGCCGACUUUCAAGUAAGGAGUGGACAAGGGCUGUGACGGAAGCGAUGACAAAAGCAAUCGCACGUGGCAAGCUCUUAUUAGAGGAGUGGUGCACGUAUCACGGUUCACAGGCUGCGUUCAGCCAAGGGCGGAAAUCAAGCCCCCUGACAAACAAACUCCCACGUUUUGUCUGUAGAUAAACACGGACCCCACGUGUCCUAAGAAAUAUGUCUUCUGUAUUUGUCCUUUUCCAAGUCCUUUAUAAAAGCUCGUUUCUCUCUGGGAAGGCAUCAUAAACAUAAAGCAGAGCUAAAACAGGGAGCAGAAGAAAAAGAAAAAGAAGAAGAAACAAGCACAAGCCAAGCAAGAAGUAGCUAGCUUAGAGCUCGAGCUCCAAGACAGAGAAAAAAAGAGUAGGAAGAACAAUUUAAAAGCUGGGAAUGAAGGUAAAUGGAUCAGCAGCAGCAGAUCAGUUGGAGUUACCAGCUGGAUUUAGAUUUCAUCCAACAGAUGAUGAGUUGGUGAAUCAUUACUUGAUUAAGAAAUGUGGAGGCCAAUCAAUUUCUGUUCCUAUUAUUGCUGAGAUUGAUCUUUACAAGUAUGAUCCUUGGCAGCUUCCAGGUAAUUUUUUGGGAUUUUUCAAUGAUUUCUUUAGAGUUUCAAUUGUGGUUUUAAGAUUAGAUUUGAGAGAUUGAUUUAACUUGGAGAAAAGGGUUUUAGCUCAGCUUGUUUGAUUUCUUGGUUUUUUUUUUUAAAGAUUUCAACUCGAUUUUUAAAUUUUAAUAUUCAGAAAAGAAAAGGUUUUUUUUUCUUUUUUGGAUGAGAUCUUCUUUACCAUUCGUUUUUUUAGAGUUACAGUCAAAUGGAUAUUUCCGUACCUUCACACAAUUAAGUUUUAGAGAUAAUAAAAACCCAGAAACCCAGAAAUAUUUCAUGAAUUUUCUUAGCCAUUUGUUCAUCAAUUUGAUACAUAGAUCUAUGAUCUAAACAAGUGGACGAGAAAGAUUUCAAAAUUCUCGAUUUGGUUUCCUGAUUUUUUUUGGACGACUAAUAAUUAUUUGGUAAAUUUCUUUUUGUUUUUCAGAAAUGGCACUGUAUGGUGAAAAGGAAUGGUACUUCUUUUCUCCAAGGGAUAGAAAAUAUCCAAACGGUUCAAGGCCGAACCGGGCGGCUGGAACCGGGUAUUGGAAAGCAACCGGAGCAGAUAAACCCAUUGGUCGGCCCAAACCACUUGGCAUAAAAAAAGCACUUGUAUUUUACGCCGGCAAAGCUCCCAGAGGAAUCAAAACCAAUUGGAUCAUGCACGAAUACCGCCUUGCUAAUGUUGAUAGGUCUGCUGGCAAGAAAAAUAACCUAAGGGUACUUCCUUUAUUCUUCUCCUUCUCCUCCUUCAUCUUUUUAACCCAUAUAUUAAUUUAUUGUAUAAUUUAGUGUAAUUGACACGGAAUAUUUCGUUAUUGCAGCUAGAUGAUUGGGUAUUGUGCAGAAUAUACAACAAGAAAGGAAGCAUAGAGAAGCAUUUUCCUGCAGAUAGAAAAUCAAUAACAAAGUAUGCUGAAAUGGAAGAGCAAAAGCCCAACAUAAAUGAAAUGUCUGGUUACAAGAAUGGAGGGUCAACAAUGGGAGCACCAACGAUGAUGAUGAGUAAUAGCAAUGACUUGUUAAAUAUGGACACGUCCGAUUCAACACCAAGGUUGCAUACAGACUCAAGUUGUUCGGAGCAGGUGCUGUCACCUGAGCUCACUUGCGAGAGGGAGGUUCAGAGCCAGCCAAAAUCAUGGAAUGAUCAGCUAGAUAGUGCAUUUGAUUUCAACUUCAAUUACAUUGAUGAUGGCUUCCAAGACGACCCUUUUGCCUCACAAGUUCAGUUCCAAAUGGACCAGCUCUCACCUCUGCAGGACAUGUUCAUGUAUUUACAGAGGCCGCUUUGAUUUUUUAUCACCAGAAAAAGAAGAAGAAAAAAAGACCUACAUAUUAAUUUUAUAGGUAAAAAUAGCACACACCGUUGUAUUCUUGCAUGUGGGCCCGGACAAUCUUAGCCUGGAGUCUGCAGAUGGAGGUGACAUUUGUGGGAGAUCAAAGGGAUGGAGUCUCAGAUUCUGACCUGGGAUUGUAUUGUAUGAAGCUGGUGAGGGAACAUGGCUGGAUUAAUCAAGCAUUAGUGAUGUUAAUAUGUAAUUGUAAUGAUUCUUGUAGGGAAUUCUUGUAGGAUUGUACAAGAAUUUAUUUCAUUAAUUUCAAAAAUUAGUGAAAUUCAAGAAAGUUCAAGGAAUUUAAGUGCUUAUGAUUGUUUAUAUUCUAUUUUUGUGUGGCCACAGUUAUCGUCUUUCAUUAAUACCCUAAGAUUUGCUUUGGGCCGGGUUAAAUUCUUUGCCGCAUGAAAAAAAAUAAAGCUAAAAUAUUGUAAUGACACAUAAUAGAAAAUAAACUAAAAAAAUAAUAUAUUCAAACCCCCAAAAAUCAAUGAAAAAAUGACACAUAAUAGAAAAUAAACUAAAAAAUAAUAUAUUCAAACCCCCAAAAAUCAAUGAAAAAAAAUUAUUUAAAAAUAAAAUACCGACACGAGAUUACUCUCGCGUAAUAUAAUGAGAGGACAAGAUUAUCCAAAAAAAAUAUAUAAAAAAAUAGUUUAAUUCUUUUAAAAAAUUCAAAAUUUGAAUGUCAAAAUAAAAAGAAAUAACUUCUAGAAAAAUCCAAGUCACAGUAUAAACAUCUCCUUUCACAUAAAUUUUAUUAGGGAUAAUCUAAUUAAAAAGAAAACUAAAGAAAAUAAACAACUUCAAAAGAUAUAAAAUGUCAUGAAUUUUUCAAACUCAUGAUCUUUGGUAGUCAAAAAAACAUAAAAUUUUGACUUAUUUUUAAAACAAAAAGAUUUGAUUGGCUUGGGUUGACUGAAGCCAACUCACUCAAUCUAUAACUCGAUAAUUGUCCUGAAUUGACUAUUGGAUAAGGAUUAGAAACAAUGGGAAAAAUCAAAAAGAUCAAAUUUCAAUAAAUAAAAUGUUAAAUGAUGAAAUAAAAAAAUAAAGAAUAAAAAAUAUCAAUUAAGAGAAUAAAAAGCUCAUUUGAAAAAAAAAUUAAUGAAAUUGAAGUGAAUGCGGAGACUUUUAAGUUUUAAACACCUAUGCUUGUUGUUGAGAAAUGAUAAAUAAAUAAUAAAAAAAACAAUAAGAAGAAUCAAGUUUAAGAAGAUUGAUAUUUAAUAAAAAAAAUAUAUAUAAAAUUUUUAAUGUGGGCUCAUUUUCAAGAAUUGAAAAUUAUUGAAUUUGAAGCAAAGUUUGAAGAAUGCAAGAGGCUGUGAUUGCUUUUAGUCCAGCAGUAUUUAUCUUUAAUUAUAAUUUAAUCGAGGAUAUUUGAAAGUGUGAUAACAAUUAUUUUUUAAAGUAUUAUCUUGAAAAUACAUUAAAAUAAUAUUUUUUAUUUAAAAAAAAUUAUUUUUAAUAUCAGUAUUUUAAAACAAUUCAAAAAUAAAAAAAAUAAUUUUAAAAAUUAAAAUUAAAAUUUUAAAAAAUACCAUUUAAAAUGCAAUUUCAAAAUGCCACUUUGUGAACAGAAAAAAAAAAGAAUUUAUAUAAAUUAAAAUAAAAAUAAAAAUGCAAGUGAUGGCGAUGUGAUGGCGAUGGGCUUAUAAGGGGAUGAACAUGAAGAAUAAGCCAAAAGUAAGUAAACACAUACUUUCAUGCGGGCUUGACAGACAAAUAAUUCAACGUUCGUUUCAUACGAUGUGUAACUUGCAAGAUUUGAAAAUUGUGGCCAUAGAAGAACAACCAUCGUUCAUAUUGCUUUCCAGCUAGUUGGUUUAUUGGGUUGGUGAAGGUGCAUCCAUAAUCUUCACUGUCCAUGUUGACAGUCUUGCCAAGUUUAACCUAAAAGAAGUAUUAUCUUAUUGAUUUUCUGUACGAACCAGUUGAUGGUGGAUGCAGAAAGUAGAACAAUUCCCGCACUUUGAAUUUGAAGAUCCAGAGGCAGUGAAAGUAAAACGACUCUGUAUUUUGAUUAAAUAUUUAUUAAUUAUAACUGUGGGCUAUGUAUGUAUGAUUCACCGUUUCACAAAUACAUACUUUACAAGGAUAAUUAUGCUGCACAUAAUGUAUGAAGAACACAAUGCUAGAGACUAACAGCUUAGAAGCUUUUUGUACAGGGCUUUUGUUUUUAAUGAUUAUAACAUCCCUCAUUCUGAUCAAAUGAUGAAACUUUUGGAUUUAGGAAGCCUGUUGCAAUUUCCAGGGGCCCAUCCAAUCCGUUCUUUCUCGUUGUCAUAGAUCACCACUCUGUCUUGCAUUGAUAUGUCUAAUAAAACCACAUGAAAGAAAGUUUAAAAGAAUUUUAAGUUCAAUCCUAGGUUUAUAAUCUCAAUUCUUCAAGCUAUGUUCCGAAUUAUACAGAAACUCUCACCUCCAAUGACAUUUAGAUCAUUCAGCCCUACUUCUGUGCCAUUUAGAAUUCCCAAGCAAGCAUUUCCCUUGGACUGGAAAAAAAUAUUGUCAGCAUUCAUUGACAUGCGAAGGCUCCUUCUAAUUGAGCUAUAAAUUAAACUUGAAAAAUCAAAGGUGGGGAAACUAUUGAAGGGUGGACUUACUGAUAUUAUGAGGUAAGCUUCUGGUGGGAAUUCAAGCUCAGUUUUAGAUUUCCUUUCAUUCGUGAAGCUCAAUGCAAAGGUCUUGAAGUAUUUCUUGACAUCACGUAUGCUUUUGAAAGGUUUCCGGCCUUUCCAACAAAGUGGGAGUGUUUGAUCAUCCAAUGCCUCUCUUAAAGGUUUCCCGGAUAAUUCUUUCUUCAGCUGAAAAAACAUAUGGCAUGAAUAUAGGACGUUGAGAUUUAAACGGUGGUUUAAUACUGGAAGUAAUCUGAGCUUCAAGCCAAAUUGGGAGAAAACAUUGUUUUUUAACUUCCAAGCAUCAGAAGCAUAUGGCAACUUAUAACUGUCUAGCAGAUAGACAAUUAAGAUAAUGACCAAGGGGAACUGCAAGUUUAAGGCAAAAAGAAUCUUUUCUCAUAGUAUAUAACAUACGAUUCAUUUGAAAAUAAUAUCAGGUAUUCACAAUAAAUACUGCAGCCGACUAAAGUACAUGAUAAUAGACCAACCCUGCUCUUGCUGUACUAAUGCAAAUGCCAGGCUCUUUAUCUAACAUUUAUGUUUGUCUUGUUUUACUAGAUUUUCUGCCGCUCACCAGAGAAAUUAGACCUUGAUAUGCCUGAGAAUUAAGGUAUGUAUAAGAUGCCCCACUGUCAAAAGUUGUGAGCAGGUUUUUGAACCCGGUAGUUUUCCCAUCAAAAGUUAAUUCAGCGAGUCCAGGAGAGUAAUGUUUCCUGCCAUGCACGAUGAGCAUUUACCAUAAGAACAUAAAGAUAUGAAUAUAAAAGCUAAACUUUAAAAACAUGAAAGGAAAUCCUCGAGGCCUAAUUACGCAUCAGGUGACAUUGGUGUCCAAGCUACACGAGACGAAUCAUAAAGAUCAUCCCCGAAGAAGAGGAAUCCUCCACCAUGCCCACUUAAGCAGUGGCCGAUCACAUUUCUCACCAAACCCAGACUACUAAGCUGUGAGACAAUGCUAGACUUUCCCUUGCCAAGGCCAAGCACUCCGUCUAUGGGAUGAUGAGAUCCGCCUGGAAACUGAUCAUAUCCACAUCUGUUUGAGGGGAAAAAAGAACGAAGAGAGAACAAAUGAUUUACAUUAUGCAUACUAGCCAACCAACUGAAAAUUGCAUUGCGUCUCAUAAAGUUUUAAUAAAGAGAGAAAGCAAAGAAAACAACCCAAGGGCCAGAAGAGGACUAUGACGCUUUUCACUUGUAAAAUUGAGAUUAAAGGUAUCCCUCACAAGUACGCCAAAGGAUGAGCCACCAUCAGCAUACUCAACCUCAUAGUCACACUGCCCUGGGUUUUCACAUCUGUGGUCACCGUUAGAGUGCAAGGAUUGACAAAUGGGGUCCAUGCAAGGUACUAGAUUGUUACGGGGUCGGUAAUAUGGAUGAGGAGCCUGUAAAUGAAAAAUAAUUAAGGUAUCUGCUAUACUAAGAACAUAACUUCAUUUGUUUAACACACAGCAUAGAAUAUUGAAAACUAAUUAGAAUCACAUGCAAGUUUGACAGACAGUGAUAAUUCAAGAUUAACUGAGCUGGAAGGAGCAUAAUUGCGUUUAACAAAGCAGCAGAGGUUUACAGAUUUACCAUAAAACAAGUGACAAAAUUAUGCUGAAACUAACCACAUCCGAGAAAGCUCAAGAAUCAAGGAGUUCAAGUUAUCGCAUGCUACCAUCCAUUUAUAUGUUAAUGAAAAUUGGAAAAACAAUUAGGGAGUCAUAUCCGAGUGGCAGCAUCAUACAAUAAUUCCGUUCUUCAGGUUUAACUUAAGCCUCAAGGACAAGAUACAUACAAUCUUCUAGACAUCGUAGUACUGACCAUGCAGGUUGGACCAUUUGAUUAUAUGACCAACAACAAGAAAUGAAUGCUAAAUGGUUUUUUUUUUCAUAAAUUGGUUGAACGAAACAGAGAAAACCUGUUAUAAUGAUUUUUACCUCUGUGCAUUGGACACAGGGAGCAUCACACUGGAGCCAUGUAAGGUCACUUCCAGUAUCUACAUCAAGAAAGUAGGGUUUUGAGGGUUGGCCAAUGUUGAGAGUCACAUUAUAGUACCUACAAAAUGGAACUCUGUGAUUUCAGUAACAAACGAUUGAGUUCAAGAAGCUCCAAACAAAGCCUUAUGUAGUUACAGUCCAGAAUCCAGAGGAACACAACUGAAGGACUCCAUGAAUUACUGCAUAGCUAUCAAGCAAGGUUUUCAAAUUUCAGUCGAUAAAUUACGAAGAAUCAGAGACAAAAGUCCUAAUAUCAUUACAUGAUAACACACAGAACAUGCGAUUAUCACUUACUUGGCAAAGAAACAAGGAAAACAACAAGAAGUCAAAACCCAGUUCAGUUAUGCCCUUACCCAUUAGGAUAGACAUUCCCAUGAAGCGGUAACACAAUGGAUGAUGGAACUCUAUUGAUCAACAUUGAUGAAGCCAUUGUUUCACCUGAUAUCAUAGCCUUUCUCCACCUUUUCGGGCUAUCAUCACUAGUAACUGAUGACCCCAAAAACAAAAAUAGCACUAAAACCCCCACCACACAAAAACCAUCCUUUUCUUUUCCCAUUUCUCUCUUUUUGACAGUCAGUGAGUUAAUUAAUGCACCACAAAUGUUUGGUAGAAUAUCUGAAUGAAAACUAAGACCUGGUCAAUCCACUUGUUUUUGUUUAUUUUUAAAAGCCCAUAUGAGUCCAAAUUUGGUUUGUAUUGACAUGGGGUCUUUUGCUAGGAGAUUAAGGAUUCAUGGGCAUUGCUCGUUCUUGAAAUUUCGCUUAAUUACCUAUAAAAAUCGAUAUUUCUUCAAAUGUGGUGUUCUUUUAUUCUCUCUCCAAGGAGACAGGAGGAUUAUGUUAAUGGAUUUUGAACUAAUUGUUUUUUGGGAAUAAAUGCAACUAAAAGAAUUUGCAGGAAGUUAAGGUAUAUAAUUUGCCUUUUCAUCUAAGCACAAAACACUAUAAUAGAUGGCAAUGCAUAUUCAGAUACUCUGUUUUAGCUUGAAUUAUUAUUGACAAUUUCUCGGAACCUUCCAUGAGAGGGACAUUUGCAUCAAAAGCCAAAUCCUUAAAAUGGAACGCUAUACCUCGAAGACUGCGGCAAUUUCCCUUUUGUUCUUUUGCCAUGUACAAUUUCUUUCCCCUUAUAGCUUCACUUUUCCAUUUUCCAUGACAAUCUUUAUUCUUUAUCUACAGUGAGGAGGGUGACAACCCCAACUACACCCUAAUGUAACAAAGAAUACAAACUCUCAACAACUUGAUUAAAAAUAGUUUGGAAUUAAAUAUACAUUUACAAGUAUAGCUAAAAGUGUCAUACAGAUUUUUUUUUAAGAUUUUUUUAUUUAAAAAUUCAUCAAAAUAUUUUUUUUAUUUUUAAAAAAUUAUUUUUAAUAUCAAUACAUUAAAAAACUUAUAUAAAAAAUAUUAAUUUUAAAUAAAAUAAAUUUAAAUUUUUAAAAUAUAUGUUCGCAUUUCCAAAUUGCUCCUAAGUGCUAGAUAGGGGCAUACACCUUGACCCAUCCAAUUUUUUUUUCAAAGUAAAAAAAAAUGCUAAGACGAUGUAAACAUUUUAAUAAAAAUAAAAAAAAUAUAUGAGACUCGGGUUAUUAACUUAAUUGGAUUUAAUAAGCUCAACUAAUUUAAAUAAUACAAGUAAAAAAUGCAACAACAAUAAAAAAAAAUUGACAAUUGUAAAAAAGGUAAAAAAAAAAAAAAACUUGAGCCUGUCCAAGUUAGCAUUCAAAAUCUACAACUCUAUUGUUAUACCAGGAUAACCUUGUCUAAAACAAACUAAAAAAAUCAUGAAAUUCAAUUAUAAAACAACCCCAAUGUUAAGGGUGAAACCAAAACAAAUAUUUUUUUAAAAAUAAAAUAUUCGUGUCAAUUCAAGUUGACUCACUAAUUUCGUAACCAUAAACAUAAAAUUGGAAUAACUUCAUAGAAAGAAAAACAAAAACAAAAGCACGAAGAUUAAUUAUUAAUAAAUUAAAUGUUAAAUGAUGAAAUUGAAAAACAAAUAAUUAAAAAAUGGCCUAAAAAACCUAAAGUCGACACAUGUUAACUUUCAAAACCCGUGAUCUUGGUCACGGGCUUGAGACCAACACCAUAUAAGAAAAAUCCUAAAAAAAUAAUGAAGCAAAAUUAUAAAUCAAUAAAAUAUUAAGGGAUGAAAUUAAAAAAUAAAUGAAAAAAAACAAUAAAAAGAAUAAGAAGUAUAUUUGAUAAAAAAAAAUUUAAAAUCAAAUGUUGAAGGAUGAAAUUGAAAAUAAAAUUCGAUUAGAAAAAAAACAAAAAAAACAAACAACAAUAAAAAAGAUGAGGACCAAAUUUGAUAUAAAAAUUAAAUGAAACCAAAUGAAAGACAAUUUCAAAAAAAAGGAUAAAAACAAAACAAAUAGAAAUUAAAAAAAUAAGGAUUGAAUUGAGUACAAGAAAUAAAUGAAAGGAAACCUCUAAAUUUUUACAAGGAGAAGAGUGAAAAAAAAGAGAUGGAGAAAAAACUCCAUCGAAGCUCAACCACUCCUUUGUUGUCCACACACACAGCACCGGUGGAAAGAACAUGUCAAGCCACUUCAGAUGCUGCCCUGAAAGGUGGCAUUUAGACAUUGGAUGAUGCAAUAUGAGCCGCUUGAAAGGCAUGGAUGUUGCCCUCGUGCACGUGCCAACAAUUUUAUUUUUAACUAUUAUUUUAAUUGAUGAAAAAAUCAAAUCGCCUUGUCCAACCUAUUAGUUACAAAAAUAUCUUAAUGAAAAUACGCAAAUACCCCUUGUUGUAAGUUUUAGUUUUUUUUUAAGGGUAUAAAGGUUUUUACACUAUGCUUCCAAAAUGUAAAAAGACAGGAUUAACUCUAAUCAACCUUUUGAUAAAUUUUACUUUUAAUGAAUUUUACUUUUAAAAAUAAUAUAAUCUUAUAAUAUGAUUUUGAAUUGUCGAAAGAUCAAAUUAUUCUCAAUCCAUAGCAUUAUGCCCAAUAAUCGUGUUAAAAAUAAUCGUGUUAAAAAGAUCAAAUUAAUUACCCCUAAUAGCAAGUUAAAUCUUUUUUUUCUUGUUAAAAGGGCAAAACAAUACUUAUACUAGCACGGUGAACAAUAAUUUGUGUUUAUAUGCAUAAUGUUUUCUUCAUAGCCUUUUUUUUCAAAAAAAAUUAAUAUAUUUUAUUAUCUGUGAAUUAAAAGGUAACAAGCUAGCAAGUAAAAAACUUGUUACAUGCGAGAAUAAUGCUUUUAGCCCCUUUGUUUAUUGCUUAGGGAAAAGAAAGUUCAGGAUAAUUCAUUUGAUUAGUGAUGAAACAAGAUUUUAUUAGCAUAUUUUUUAUAUAUCCUUACCAAUAAAUACCGGAAAGAAAAAAUAUACGGGUAUAAUAAAUCUUCAUGAAUUCUUGAGUGUAUUGAGUUGACACAUGACAAUACCAAACUAUCUUAUUAUACUUAAAAAUAGUGAUAUUGAAUAAAUAUCGUAUUUCUGAAGUAUAUCAUGGUCAAACUAUUUUAUUUUAUCAAUCUUUUCUGUGCCUAUAUCUAUUAACUAUUUUAAAAAAAAAAAAUUACUGUGCUAAUAGCUCAAUUUAUCCUAAAUAGUGAAGUGCCAUAUGGGAUCACUUGUUCUGCACACCAUAUUACUAGAGACUUCGAUGAGUUAAGUCCUAUGACUUUGUUUUACUCUAUAUAACAAAUUAAUGGUGCAAUUGAAACUUCUGGUAGAUUGGGACCGGAUUUAAGACUUGUAUGAUAAUUAUAUAUAUAUAAAAAAGCGAACCAGAUCAACAAAUCACAUAGUCAAGCUGAUCAUGAAUUGAUAGAAAUGCACUAUCAUGCUAAUGUUAGCACUGAACAUAUUGUUCAUCAUUGAGCAACACAAAAAAAAAAUACAAGUAGAGACUAAUCCACUUAUUCUCCAUCAAACAAGUAACUCAUCACCCUUUGCUGGCUAAUCUCAAGACCAAGAGAAUGAAGACCGAAAGCUUUAAAUUUAUCAAACUAUUAUAGAACCAAAGCAGCAAGUAUAAUACAGUUAUGCAACCAAUGGAAAUGAUGAGACAGCCAUCAGAAAAUUCCAGACAAACCACUAAAUUUGCGGUUAAUUAUCCUGCCAGGUAUGUCUUGUUAUAGUUUGUCUUUAAUCCAUUUAUCAUUAUUAAGAAGAAAGACAGCGAUGAUAAAAUCACGACCAAUCUACAGAUGAUGUUAAGGUUUCCAAAUAUAUGAGAGCGAGAUAAAAGAGAGAAUAGAAGAUCAGGUAAAAAAAAAAACUGAUUAGAGAUGAGAUCUAUAUUCUUCAGAGUUCAUAUUACUAAAGAAAAGACAUUUGAUCUCACCUAGUGACUAAAUUGUGGUAAAGUUUAACUAAAGACCUGGUCAUGCAAUUAGAUAAGCAUUUCAAGAACCACAAAACUUUACAAGCAAUGAUUUUGUAAACAGAAGGAGAAAAAAGAAUUCGAACUAUCAUGGCUAGAAUAAAUAGAAGAUAGAGCAAAAGGAAAGUGGUAUAACAUUUCCUAUCCAUGUUCAAAAAACCGAAACUGAUGGACUGAAAAAGCUAAUAAAAACACCAUCAAGUUAAAUGCCCCUGAAAAGUUUGAAAAAAAGAGAGAAAAGAAUAGCAUUACCCUGUCCUUUAAUUCCCUCGGUCAAGUUUUGGAUGUCUUCCCUUUGGUUGUUACCAUCACUUUUGCGUUUCUGAGGCUUUUUCUUCUUGAAAUGUGGCCUGCAUUGCUGCCAGUCCUGUGGAGGUCAUGAUGAAAUGGUUUCUGCAACUGAUGGUGAUUUGGAUCUUGUAAACCUCCCUUGACCAGCACCAAUUGGCCAUUUUUGCUUUUUCUGAAGAUCAUGUUGCUGCCUUUUCUGCUUAAGCUGAAUCUGUGGAGACAAUGGUACGUUGACAGUUUGAGAUGCAGCUGAUAAUGAUUUAGGUGGCCUUCCUGGGCCACGUUUCUUGGGCUGUUGCUCAUUGUGACUCUGAUGGCUUGAGGAUAUUUCUCUUACUAUGAGUUUUGUACUGGUCAUGGCUUUAGGCCUUUGCCCUUGAAUAUGCAAUGGCAGCUCCUUGUGAUGAUCUUCACCAUCUACAGGUAAAAAUUUCCCCUUAGCUGUAUCCAUAACAGGCUUUAGCUUAGGACGCCUCCCUCGAAGUUGAUAUGCCAGUUGACUUCCCUGUUUAUUUUGGUCUGGUAAGGGUUGUGAUUCUUCCAUUAUUUUAUCCAUAAUCUCUUCAGCUUGGGAAGAGCAUUGCACUCGAAACUGUAGUUGCUGUUUCUGCUGAGUUUGAAUAGAAUCCCCUGCUGAUGUUAGUUUGUGCUGUUUUGGAUUUUCUAGCAUUUUGACUUCAUCAGAUGUUACUGGUGCAAGCUGAGAUCUGAGAAGCCCUUUCCUACCCUGAUCUUUGAGUUCCUGCUCCACUGAUUGAGAUGAUUUCUCCACUUUCUUUGGUUUUCUCUUUUGAGGUCUUUCAGGGAUUGGAUGAUCUAGUUUCCGCUGUCUGUCGGAAUCAACAUCAUUUGCAUCUGUUGGAUGUGCUGGAUUGGAUUCACAUGCCUUUGUGCCACGAUACCAUAGUUCCCUCCGGGGCAGCUCCAUUUCUACUUUCUUUCUCUUGCCACGACCCUUCUUUUGCUGAUUCGUUAAUCGGGAUGAUUCAUGUACCCCCAAAAUUUGCUUUGGAUCUUGAAGCAUUUCAAUGUUAUGGAGUUGCUGAUCAGAAGUAGCUCCAGCUGCACCUGAUUCAGAUUUGUUCUCGGAUGCCCUUUGCUCCGGAGGGCGUAAUUCUUUCUCUUGUAUUUGCUGUUUUAUCUGGCAUUGUUGCUCUGAAGUGAUCGUUUCAACCUCUAUAUGCCUUUCCUUGACUGAUAGUUCAAGAUUCUGCCCUUUCACGAGCUGCAUUGACUCCAUAGCCACACAAUUCAUUUUGUCAUAUCUAUAGAAUGGUAUGUUCUAUGGUACUAUAUUUAAUAUCAUUGAUAAUUUGAAGUCAGUUCUAUAUUAUCUUCAGUCUGUUUCAUAUCAUCUCCGAUAAUAAUAAAUGAUAGAAAAGGAAUGGAAGGCCUAAGAAAACACAUGAGCAAUUAAAGAUAAAAACGAACAUGUCAUGAUGCCUACCACAGGCUCGAGUUUCUUUGCAUCGCCACAAGGAACAGCACACUGCAGCCGUUCUUGGGAAAAUCGCUCCACCGUAACCUCAAAUCCUGGAGGCCUCUCAGGCUCAACCUCGUCUCUAUCUAUAGUGAUGUCCUCAGCAGGUGUCAAUUCUCCAUCAGCAGACAAGUUUUUUCCCAAAGCCUUUUUUAGCUCAGGGACAUCUACUCGCUGCUCCAGCUCAACACGCAGUUCAACAUGCUCCAAAUUGACGGGAGUCUGAAGGUCCUCUACAGUUGUGCCAUGAUGCUCUGAUCUCUGCUCCAGAUUCAGCUCCUGGGGUUCCAAAGAACCUGCAAAUGAACAAGACUUGGACCCCUUUUCUGGGUCAUGAAGUUGUAGAUAGCCUUUAAAACUAGGAAAAUCUUGAUGUUUCUCCACCUCCAGUUGCUGUGAGUGCAUGAUUUGCUGAGUAGGAGAAACACUAAUGUUUUCUGGCCAGUAUUUCGAUGGGAAAUCAUGAUUUCCAGGUAAAGCCUGCCUUUUCUGGUUAUGAAAAGAUUCCUGCAAUGCUGUUAUUUGAACUUCUGCAGUUCUUUUGAGUUUAGGAAGCUCAAAUUGUUGAUUCUGCUGAAGUUGCAUUGGAUCUUUGGGUACAUAAUCAGAAUGUGGCAAUGCUUUUGGCUCUGAUUCAUGAAUAUUGGCUAUUGCUUCCAUUGAAUUCAAACAGCUAAGAACAUCCAUCAGCUCAUGCUCAGCUUCUGUUAACUUCUUCCACACAUUUAUACACUUUUCCUAGUGAUCAAAGUAAAUUAAACAAACAAUUAAAACGUGUUUCAUGGGACAGAAUAAGACGAGUUUUACAUAUUAGUAACCAAUUUUCCAAGUUUAACCUGUGAAUAACUAAUACUCCAGUUUUAAACUUUCACCUUCAGAGUAUGAAAUAACAAUGAAGAUCCGACAUGGUCUAAUUGUUGACUUGUCUGAGAAGAACUUGGCAUCGCUAUCAUGUCUUUAUCUCGAACAGGUUGUCCAGAAACCUCCGAUGUAUGGCUGUUAAUUAAUCAGAAACGGAGAAGGGAUAAGAAUAAAGUAACAAGAAAGACUGUAAGAUACAAUGUUGCAAAGUAAGAAAAGAGCAAACCUAAUGUCAGUAGAAUUGUUCCCCACUUUAUUAUCUUGUUCUUGCAAUCCCUUUUCCUCUCCAAUCACUCCAACUUCUUUUCCUCGUGUUUCAAUCUGCAUAGGAAUGGUUCUAAUAUGUGUUUUCUCUGAUUGAUAAUGUUCGUCAACAUACAUAUCUUGUGGAACCUGAGGUCGAAUUUCGCCUAUAAUUUCUUCAUUUUCAGGACGUUCAACAUGAUGCAGGUCUACAGUUACUUUAUUUUGACGUUCAGUUUCCACUUGAUCUUCAGUCACUUGGAGUUCUUGUUGUUGUAAUUGACUUCGCUCUUCAGUUGCCUCAGUUUCCCUCAUUUGGAUAUGAACUUCUUUUUCAUGUCUUCCCUCAUCUACUCCAGCAGGUUGCUGGUAUCUAUCUUCUACAAUCACUUUUGACUGUCCUUCAACAACUUGAGAAAAAUUCUCAGUAGUCAUCUCAAACCUCUCUUCCUCAUAUACCCUAAGCUGAUCUUCUUGUAAAUGGUUCCGGUAUUCAACGCCUUCACUUUGAGCUGCUUGUGAUUCUUUUGCUUUAUCACUUUCAGGUUGAUCUUCUAUUUCUAUAAUUGCAUUCUGAUCUUCUUGAACUUGAACUCCUUCAUUGACCUUUUGCAACUUAUUACUUCUCCGAUCCAGUUCAUAUUGCACCGACUGCUUCUUUCCCUGCUUUAACUUAGAGUCCUCAGCUGGAAGCAUGUAACGAUUCUCAGAUGUAAAAACUAUUUCUUCCUUCUCCACAAGUUUCUCUAAUUGUUCAAUUAGUUUAGCCACAUGAACAACCUGAAAAACAUCAUACUUUCUCAUGAUAAACUGUGAUAUUGCAUCCUUGGUCGAUCCCCCUUCUUCAUUUAAAUCCAUAAUUGCCUCAUGCACCAUCUGAAUGGAAAAAUCAAACCAAUUGAAAACUAGUCAAUGAAAACUUCAUUCUUCCUUUGUUUCUCUUUAAAAAGGGCAGGACUCGAACUAGAGACCAACAUGGCUACACUCAUAGGUAUCAUGAAAACAAUUUCUAGAGAAGCAGACACAAAGGAAAAGGGAACAUACGACAGGGUAUACUGGGUGAUCUGGAGUGUGGUCUAUGGUGGCCAGCUGCUGUUUGAUGUGCAGCAUUUUGGUUUGGUCUUGGCUUGCCAUUUUCACAAUCAUGUCAUCCACAUCAAAUUUUAGUCCCUGUGCAUGGAAUUACAAAUCAAAACAAAUCAGCAAUACGUUAAGCACCCACCAACACCAUAAGCCCACAAAAAGAAAUAGCAUGUUCAAAAAUUUCCAUAAGCCCACAAAUAUAACAAUUAUAACCUGUAUUUUCAUUUUCCUCACAGCUUAAGAGUCAAGUCUGGGCUCACAUUAACUAGAUUAGUGCAUCUAAAUUGUCAUGAUUACCACUAGCAGCACAAUGGGUCUUGCAUGGUAAUAAUCUCUUCCUUCGGACUAGUGCUCCCUCAUUCACACAAAAUUGGCAUCAUGAUUUAUAGCUAUCACGAAGGGAUCCCACUUUCAUACGAGUGAAAAAGAAUGUUAUAGAAAUACCCAAAUUGCUUGCAUAGCAGGAAAAAAUCGGUAUUUGUCAAAAGCACAAUUCAAAACCAAUUUCUUAUAAAACAAAAAAAUACCAAACAGUUGUUUUGCUUUUCUUGUAAUGUUGAUGGCGGAACAGUGUAAGCAACAGGUUCAAUGGGGGCUACCACAAAGCAAAAGAAAAGCAAAAGCGGUGAAAUAUAAAUUAUAGUAAUUAGAAAAGAGACAAACAUGAGCAGAAGCAUUCUCUGUUACCCCCAUCCGUUUUUUUCACCUCCUGCAACAAUUAAUCAGUAAAAUUGGACUCAAUCAACGCUUGUCCAAUAAAAACUAGAACGUUGACAAUCUGACCGAAACAGCAAUGGUAUAAAAAAAAACUGAAAGAAACCCAAUUUAGAAACAGAGCUGUUACAAUCACUGAUGAUUAUUAUUAUGUUAGCCCAGUAACUGAAAUUCAUGCCAGGUUAUUCCAAUAGGAAGAAAAUAGGGUUUCGCUGAUUUUCUCGUUACAAACACGUUUGAUGGCUAGCUUGGAAUUUAUUGCAAAAUAUACUGACAAGGGUUUUUAUUAAGUUUGCUUAGAUUUGUGGGCCCACGACUUUUUCUUUUUAAUCUGAUAAAAAAAGAAGGUACGCGUGUCUCAAAAAGUUAAAAAGGAAAAAAAACCUUAGACAACAAAAUAGAAUUAUUAUAAUUUAAUUAGAUCAAAAAAUAAUUCUUUAAAAAAUCCCUUCAAACUCCACUUGAUACUGGCAAUGAUCGCUACAGCACAUGAGAGGCUGUCCUUCCCAUUUUAGCUUGUUCACAGACAUUAUUACACUUCUUCACCAGUUGUUUUACCAUCUUCUUCAUUAAAGGCCGCUAAAACACAAUCUUAAAUCUCCCGUAAGAGUUGUGUCUCCUAGCAUGGCUUUCUAUACAAGAAUUAUGAAUUGUUUUAACUGCCUUUUCUCUCAGGUCAUCUUCUUUGCCGAUCACAAUUCUCCUUUUAUACAUGAGUAUAUCAGCUGUAAAACUAUAUUCAGGCCAAUUGUCAGCUCCUGCCAAUUUCCCAUCAAUUAUUUCUGCAACUGAGAAUCUUGCUUGUAGGUGUCCAUAAUCUCCUUGUACCAUGUUGGAACCACUAUUACAAUAGGAUCGGAUUAAUCCUUCUUCUUGAAAGAUAAUCUCAUCUUUGUUAAACCGAAUAGGAUCGGCGAGUAAAGUCUUAGCAUCCAAUCCACUCCCAAAACCAUGUUACACCUCCCUAACUUCAAGAUCCUCAAGUCUGCUUGGAAUUGAUGUCCUUGCAUUAACCAUUAAAAUUUUCUACAGAAUACACUACACCUCAUGACAUUUUCAUUGGCCACAGUUACUGCUAAUACAGUUUCAUUGGCCAUAAUUACUGCUAAUACAGUCGUUUUUUCAAUGGUAGUCUUGGCCACAGUUACUGCUAAUACAGUUUCAUUGGCCAUAAUUACUGCUAAUACAGUCGUUUUUUCAAUGGUAGUACUCUUGAUCUCUUUAACCACAUGUUCAUCAAUAAAACUAAGAGUAUUACCACUGUCGGUAAGAAUAAAACUAAGAGUAUUACCUUACCUGAGGGGUGUCGUAGCUCAAUUAUGUUAGGUUAUAGGUUUGUUUUUUUAGAGUUUACUAGUUUGAUUCUAUAAAUUUUAGGGUUAUUGGAUAUUUAUUUAGUUAUUAAUUUUAGAAUUUCAAAAAAUUAAUUGAAAUACAUGUAAAUUAACCUGAAAACUCACAAGAUACAAUUACCAAAAAAAAAAUCUUGCUUUUUAUAAUUCUUUUUAAUCCUUAUUGUGUUGUUAUUGUGUUAUGAGCAUAACUUUCGUCCAAUACAUUAAGGGAUAAACCAUACUCAUGUACUUGAUAUUCAAUAGCCACAAUCUCAUUAUUACCCCCUUUUUUACUUCUAAAAGUUCUUCAUCUUCCUCAUCCACUCCCUUUAUCAUAUUCAAGUGCCAUUCAUUCGUUUACCCCCUACUGUUACAUCAGUUCUUGCAUUGUAAAGAGUGCUACAAGAAGGUUUACCUGAUAACCUACCAUGAUGUCAAGAAGAGAUAUUUUGGGUACCAUCUUGUUUCUUCUUGUCACGACUUGGUUAGAUUCCUUUUACCACCUUGCUUAAUCAAGUUCUUGUACCAAUGUUCCGGAUUUCAAGAUCUUCAAUGUUGGUUUAAUGUCCUGCUUGAGGCCUCUAAUAAAGCUGGAUAUAUAGUACGAUACUGGUGCUGAAGAAUUCAAUGUGCUUAUUAGGGAUUUAAGCUCCUCAAACCUUUCAAUAUACUCUUCUACUCCCGCUUAUCGUGUACCAAUUUGUUAAACUCCUCUACCACAUGCUCUCUGCUGCCAAAUCUGUUACAAAGGCAUCGAACAAACUCCUCCUAAUUUGUAAGGUCAUGGUCACCUACCAAAAAUCCUUCGAACCAUACCUCUGCCUUGCCUUCCAAGUAAAGUGAAGCAAUUUCUACCCAUUGAUGAACCGGAGUAAAAUGCAACUUGAAAAACUUCCUAUAUUUUCUAAUCCAUCUUCGCGGAUUAUCUCCAUGAAUCGUGGACAACUCCACUUUAGGUAAAGCUACAUUGUACCCACCCGAUGGCCUUUAUUAAUUCCCACAUUUUCCUCUGAAUUAUGAUUCUGCUGUAGAUGCACCAUUUCCCUGGCGUUAACUUGAUUCCUGUCAUCCCUUUCUACCUCCCUUCCAGUCAUAAAUGUCUGCAUGAUAGUCAUCUUGGUUUCCAUUUGUGCCUUUAGUUGUUCAUUCAACUUGGCUUGUUCUUACCAAUGUCUCUUGUUGUCUGCUAUGAAAUCUUGCAAUUCUUGAUGAAAAACUUGCAUUCUCUCAUCCAACUAUCUCCCAUUCUCUUCCAAAGUUCUAGCCUUAUUGUUUUCUACCAUUUUUAAGUCUUUGUUAAUGUUGUAAUUGCCUUGGAUUCAAGGCUCUGAUACCAAUUUGUUAAGACUCAAUCUUAACAAACAGGUUUUUAGUGAGAAAAGAGGUUGAGAAGUAGAAGAAAAGAGAAGAGAAAUAACUUUUGCAAUUUAUAGAAAAAUAUACCUCAUUAGACUUAUUUAUACAUUGUUCACCAACUCACCAACUGGAUUAUCCAAUUGUCUAACUACUUUAUUCUUCACGUGUUUAAUGCUGCUCACUGCUGCUAAUUGUUAUUUCUUUCUCUCCAUGUCACUGCCUUCCAAGCUUGCAACACUAUCUGAAUGGACUGAGUUGCCAGAGCUUGGGACGACAGGGGACCUGCUAGAUUCUGAAGAUAUCUCUUGUCCAGUUUCAGUGUGGUGGUUCAACAGCAGAUAACUAAAGAGAUUCGCAAGACUGCUUGGAAAUUAUGGUAAGCAAGGCAAGAUGCGUACUUGCACCAAAAGGGUAAUAGAAAACUGUAUAAACAUUUUUUGUCUGGUAAUUUUUAAUUUCCAUUGCAGAAGUCAGAAAUUCUCAUUUCCUUUCCAAGCAUUUCACAAAUAACAAAUAAUCUUAUUCAACAAGACACUGACACUCUCCCUUGAAUGGAUGCUCUCUAACAAUCUUAAAGUAGUCGUUUAGACGGCAAGUUAUCAUACAAUUAUUAUCUCACAACUGUUGAACAGUUGAGACUUGAAAAAAUAAAAACGCAUUCAAGAGAGGGGUAACCAACAAAAAAAAACAUCUUCAAUUCACGUAUUCAAUCUCUAGACCAUCCCAUCAAAGCAAGAAUUAUAUCAAAUAUGCCACCAUUCAUCACAGCCCUCAUCAACUUCUUAUUUUCUGGUGUAUAUGGUGGGUAUCUGACAGGUGAAUCUCCACUAAAACUUCUGUAUAGAACUGCCUUCUUGUGACUGAAAGCAUCAAAAGAAAAUUUACCAUGGUAUGAUCCCAUUCCACUCUCCCCAACUCCUCCAAAGGGUAAACUGGAAACUGUAACCUGCAUAAUUUGAAAACCAAGCUUGAAAUAGACAAUUUGUUUACCUCUACUACCUUAGGUAAAAACAUUAAAAAGUGCUCAUUUCGGAGCAGAUCCAGUUUAGCUACGCCGCGUACAAUUAUCCAUAUUGACACAUUUACUCCUUAAGCGUAACUCGCGAUACACAUUUUUGGCAUUGCUUCUAACCAUCAAGAAAUUGAGUCCUAUUCUCUCCCUUUUUCUUUGCAGGAGGGAGUAACAUGGCACCGGAAGCACAGUGGUACUGACUGGCUGCAGUCAUGACACUGCAGAUUUUUAAUAGUUUGGGGACCUUACAAUCUAUUUGAGGAGAGAUGUGGCAAACGGCCUGCAUCUCAGUGAACACAUUAUACAAAAUUUUGCCGUCCGCAUAUGUGAGUUUUAAGGAAGAGAUGAAAACAUACAUGCAGCACGGUGUCAUUGAUAACCAUUCCUCCACAGGAGACAUUUUGCACGAAGUCAUUCCUUAGCUUCUGGUUAUUGGUGAAGAGAUAUGCGACAAGAGGCUCUGGUUUCGAAUUUAUCAGAUCAAUACUGUCUUUCACAUUUUCAACCUAUCAAAUCACAGAUAAAAUGAUCUUUGAAUCAUAGUGUCGAUUAGAACAACAUGCAUUGCAUAUUUUCACUCUGUACUCACAGUGAUAAUAGGAAGCAAUGGCCCAAAUAUCUCUUCCUGCAUCAGUUGAGAGUCUUCAGGAACAUCCAAGAAUAUGGUUGGAGCGAUCUUUCUGCAAUAGAAGGAUAGGUCAUGCAGUCAUGUUUUGUCCUGUGUAUCAUUGUUGAAUUGUAAACUAGAAGCACAAAUCUGCCAGAAAAUGUAAGGAACCCACAGUUUCUUCUGAUUCCUUUGGCCUCCAACCACAAUUUUGUUGAAAACCUUGUACUCAUCUAAGAGUCUUUCCAAACGUGAAAAAUGGUUUGAACUCACAAUACGGGAUAUGUAUUUCGAUUCCAUUGGAUCUGCUCCAAAAAAUUCUUCUAUUCCGUUCCGUAGUGCAUCUAUCUGUUCAAGGGGCAUGCAUCAAGAAUAAAUCCAGUUGGAACAGACCUUUUAAAGAAUUAAAAAAAGGUAAAAUGAUCUUACCAACUUUGGGGCAAAAUCUUUUGUUGCUAUGAUAUAAUCAACACUAAUACAAGCUUGUCCAUUGUUCAGUUGCCACUUCCCAGCUAUAAUCCUCCUUGCAGUAACCUUCGCAUGAAGCCAAUUAAUACUACAGGGAAAAGAAUCCGUGAUUGAUGCACUCUUAAGCUAUGAACUUGAUGUUCUUACUUGUAAGUCAACAUCAGAAUCAACAACAACUGGACACUUUCCUCCAAGUUCUAGGACAACAGGAGUAAGGUGCUUUGCUGCAGCAGUCAUCACAAUGCGCCCUACUCUUGGACUGCCUAAAAAGAAAAAACAGCAUGGCCUCUUUAGCUAAAGUCUUGAAUUUAGAGAACUUUUCCAUUGAUACUAGCAGCGUCAGUUCAUACACUCUAUACUUCAGCAGUUACACUUAGUAUGAAAAAUCAAAUGGACAACAGGUGUUUUCAAAGUUUCAAAUCCUGUUUAUGAAAUGCCUUUGGAAUAACUGUAAAACAUAUAUUGACUUAAAUUCUCAUGUGACUUUUAUGGAAGGUUAUGAUCAGUAAUAUCUGAGGUGUUCUGUUGUGAACAACAAGUUCAAGGAAACACAAGUGAAACAACAAAAUUUCAAUAAAAGAAUCUGAAUGGAGACACAAUGUGAAAAUUGUGUUGCUGGGAGUUGUAUGGGUUUGGGGUAUGGGUUUGGGCUUGAACUUGGUUUUUUCUCAAGUUACCUAGAUUUUUACACUGAUUUGUAGAGUCCAACUGUUGUAUCCUUGUCUGAAUAUUCUUAUCCAAAAGAGGUGCCUUAGCCUAAAAUAAAUGUUUGAAGUAGUAAGUGUUUGAUGAAGUAUCUAAUAUCAGCACAUCUCCUGGACCUGUAGCAAGUAUUUUCUGGUAGGAUUAAGGAGUAAAAUUAUGUUUUCCAUUUUUUCAUUUGAUAAAAGGAGUUCAUUUCUAGCACCAACAAUAGAUUGCAGUGUGUCACCGGAGACAUGUUCACUGCCUUUCAAUCCAUGAACCUGUAUGGUCAGAGCAUUUCAAAAUAUAAAAUAUUAUUGUGUCAAACCUGUGUAGAAUAUCUUGUCCCACUUCUGCUCAAGUAACGCAGCCGUUUCAGGAACGGCUCCCUCGACAACUCUAACAGCAGAGCUGUCUAGAUAUUCCUCAAAUAAUUCUGAAAGCAGUGAAGAUGUGACUGGAGCAAUUUCUGAUGGUUUCAAUACCACAGCAUUUCCAGCUGCAAUAGCUCCUAUUACUGGAUCAAUUGACAGCACUGCAGAUAGAAGAAGGAAAAAAAAAAGGCCCAUAGAAAUCAACACUAGAAAAUGCGGUAGGGGUUUUUUUUUUUAGCCAGGGACAUUUCAUGUGAUUACAUUAUCUUGAAACUAAAUGGUAUUCUCUAGCUUCCCAAUUGCAACACAUUUGUGGAUUGAAUUUAUCGAUUAUGGAAAACAGAGAAUCAUGUUUUUUUGUGCAGAGUAUGAAUGCAUGAGUAGAACAUGAUUUUAUUAACACAGAUUCUUAUUUUUCAACUUACAAAACGGGUAGUUCCAAGUUGAGAUUACCAACACAGCUCCCAGAGGUUCUGACACAAUUUCUGCUGAAGAAGGAUAGGCUGUCAUUGAAGUUUUGGCCUGAAAUGUUAGGAGAGAACGGCAUUAAACUAGCUUAAACUUGUUAUUAAAUAGAUAUAUUCACAGUUAGCAGUUCUUUCUUUUGCCAAAAGGUGAGUGGUUCUCUAGUUACCUUUUCUGGCUUCAUCCAUUGUUUCAAUUCUUUAAGUGCCUCCUCGCAAGACGAUUUUACCGCAGCAAUCUGUAUUAAACAUCAUAAGGACAAAUAUGCAAUACAUGAACGUGCAGAUCUCGGUACCAUAAAUAUAUGCAGAUAUUCCAUAUGUGCAAAUUACUGGACUGAAUUUGAAACUGCUUUUUACCAUCAAGAUAUCUACAGAGUUUUUUAAAACAGAACAAAAAAGCUAUAUAUGAAGAAUGCAAGCAUUGACCAUACCGAACAUUAUGGAGAAAUCAACAUAUAAGAAAUUAGAUUUAAACCUCAGAAACAAAGGCUUCAAACUCAGGCUUUGAGAGGUCCUUAUAAAGGGCUUCCGAAAUAUCCUUCUCCCUUUCCUCGACCAUCUUUUCAAUACCCUUCAAUUGUGACACUCGCCAUUCAUAACUCCUUGUCCUUCCAGUUCUGAAGCUUUCUUUAAGUUCCUUAACUAGCGAAGGAGCUUCAUUGGCAUCAAAAGGUUGCUUCUUUCCCUCUGUCAUUACCGGUGGAAUCGCAGAAGGGCUUUCAAAAAUUAAAAAUAAUAAAAACAUAGCAUAAAAACUCCCAAAAAGAAAAAUUAAAUGAGGCAACUGUGAAAGUAAGCACGCAUACGAGAGGCAAACACAGAGAGAUUUACGAAUGGGGCCUGAGCGAGGGAAGGAAAGGGUAGCUUCCUGCUUCUGAUUAGUCUUCUUUGGAUAACUGCUGGAGAAACUUCUCCUCACACCAGCAUCAACCACACUGUUCCGCAGGACGGUAACAAAAGGUAAAGAGUCAAGAAACAUGGCAACUGCCGGCCAGCUUAAGAUGUUGAGGUGGCCAAGAAGAUUUAUUCUCUAUUUUUAUAGAGAACUUGAAGAACCUUUAAUUAAAAAUCAAUUUCUUUGUUUCUUAACAAAACAUAAAUAAGACAAGAUAACCGCAUAAAAGAUUCUCUAAUACCAGGAGACAAUUAAUGUCUGAUCAUCUAAAACGCCAGCAUACAGAUAGAUACCAACUUUGGCAUCAAAGUGACUAUAACUCAUCGGAAUCUUGUUCAGAUUCUCAAGCCCAAGUAUCAGAUAAAAUAAAAUAAAACAAAACAGAAAAAUUGUAUUGCCUAACGUGUGACUCGAUUUCCAAUCCAAGCUUAACUAAACUAGCCCAGGAAUAGUGAUUACGAGUUAAUUAAUUAAUUUUAAUAAUCUUUUUUUUUUUUUUUUGUGAAGGUGAUUGAUAAUUUAUAGCAUACCCAUGUGAGUUCUCUUUAGUGGGAAUAGUGCAAGCAGGGAGGAUUAGUAAAACCUAAAAAAUCAAAUAGAUCCUCCAUUGGCAGACCAAUUCAUGUACAGUAAAUUACAAAAAAUUAUACCUCAUUAUAUUAAUUUUGCCGCCUAUCAAAUAAUCCCAGCUCCGUACUAUAUAUCAAAAUAACUUUCAUCUGAUGCAAGCACAGCACCCCGGUAGCCCACCCUAGAAAGAGCAAAUUGUUUAAAAUAGGAAAAGGCGAAUUAUGGCAGAAAAUCACUGUAGAAACAAUCUGAGAAGCUCUUUUAAUUUGUUCAAAAGAUAGAUAGUAUGCUUGUCUUGUGUCUUUCAUACAACAAUGAGGUGGGUGGUUCAACUCCUUGUUAAAAUGCCUCCAUAUCCAUAUGCUCUUCACUCAAUUUGAUGCUAUAAUGCUGGGAUUAAACCAGUAAUCUUGUGCAGUAUGCAGUUAUACUCUUUUUUUUAGCAGAUAUUAGAAUAAAAUUUUAUUCAUUGGGCAUGCAUCACCCAAGUGAAUAGCCCAACAGCAAGACCAUGGGAGGGGUGAAAUGGAAGUUUAAAAAUACGAGAAAUCAAUUCCCUGCACGUUGCUUAGGCCACUGGGCUCCAACUCCAUGUUUGAUAAGUUGAUAACUAGGAAUUGACAACAGAUCUUCACAUGUAAGAGCUUUUAUUAUAUUUACUAUUUAUUGGAUAACAAAUAGAUAUUUAUAUGUAUUUAUUUGUACUAUGAUUCCAGUUAAAUUUUCAUAUUGAUAACUUAACCUGGAAAGGAUGAUGCUUCAAUAACAUUGCAAAGACCACCUUACCAUAUAUUGCUUUGGCUGGGGAAAAUAGUUAUUUAUAUAUCUUUCUCAAUGAUUUCCUCUGGAGAAGAACCAAUUCCAAGUCAAAAAAAUCACUCGGAUGGAUGAACGGAAUUUGGAUGGUUUAACUUGUAGUCAAAAUGACGACGGGCCCAUUGUGUACUCUUUUUGGACAGAAGACCGAGAAGACACACCACCCUUCACUGUGAGAAGAUGCUUUAACACAAGUGGUCAGUUAAGGUAAGGCAAGGUAAGAGAAGAAUGAAAGCAAAGCAAAGCAAAGCAAAGAUGCUCCCACUAAAGCUGGUACGCUCUCUGGUCUUAGGAGAAACCAUCAACAACCCUCCUCCUCUCCUUUCCCACCAUCACCAUCACAAAGAUAUCAACACCAGCUACACCCACACCAGCAGCGACAAUAAUACAGACACAACAAAAACGAGAGCCAAGACGAAGACGAAGACGAAGACGAAGACAAAGACCCCACUACUUCUGUUCUUGCCAAAUAAAGAACUUGUUACAGAUACAUACAGACUAACCAAGAUUGCAAGAGACAUGGGCAUGGACUUAUAUCCAACACCAUCUCUUUCUCACAUUAUUUUCUCAUACCCAUCAUCAUGUACAUCACCAUCGACAUCGACAUCAACUCCAUGUACAUCAUCAGUAUCGUUAUCAUGGACAUCAACAUCAUCUUUGUUGCAUUUACCAAACAAUGCCAUUCCUUUACCAUUCCCUUCACUUUACUCUUCUUCUUUAACCCAUCUUCGCUCAUUUGUUUCACUCUCAAAAGGGUUGUUCAAGCUUGCGUUUAUCAACUCAAAACACACCAAUAAAGUUAUGGGUGGAUAUGAAAGCGACAGUCUUUAUGAUAGUAACUGGGAUUGUUGUUCAUUUUCUUUGUUUUGGAGGUUAACUGGUGAUAGAAUUGAUUCCAUGGAUAAAUUUUCAAGGGCUUUAGCUGGUGUUGGAUGGACUCUUUUCAAGACCAAGGAAAAUAACACACCAAGUGAUGGAAUUGGAGGCAGCAAGAUGGUGUAUUUGUUUAGGAAAGUGGACUCAAAGCCUGUUUAUGUGGUGUCACGAGGAAAUGGCGGGGAGUGUAGGAUAAGGGAAUUGAGGUUGCCUGCUUUGGAUUUUAGAAAUACUCCUUUGAGGAUCUUGCAUUACAUACUUCUCAUGACUGAUGAUAUCUUCUACCUUUCAUAACCGGGUAUGUUCUUACCUUAUUAUUUGGACUUGUUUUCUUUUUAAUUUACUCUUUUUAAAUUGGACUCGUUUUCUUUUUAAUUUACUCUUUUCUUUGUGUAUAUUGUCUGCUGCGUGCUAAUUGUUAAGGGGGUUUUAUGUUAUGUUAUGGGUUGGUGGAGAUUUUUGGGUAAAUCUAUUUUAUAUUGAUUUUCUUGAAAUUUAAAUGUGUGUCGAAUGGAAAAUGAUGAUCUUGAUUUUAGGAUUGUUAAUCUAACAGGUUUUACAAAUUUGACUACUUUUAAUGAAAUUUGCUUUGGACUAGAUUGUGUUUUAGGCCAGGGAGAAUGUGACAUUAUACCUAGGCAUGGAAUAGCAGGAAUGCUGAAUCAAUUGUGUUGGAGUAGUAUCUUCCAAAAUGAGUGCUUAGAAAGACAUUUUAUUCAUGUAUACUUCGCUCAUUGAAGCCAUUGAAUGAGCUCUAGACAUGUCAUUGGAUUAGUACUCACAGCCUAAAUGGGUGUCUCAAAUUCAAAGUUCAAACCGAGACAUGGGAAAUUUAUCAAUUUAGUUGGGCGGGGGAAAACGGAAAACGUAAACUAAAUCUUGAUCCCAAAUUGUUGGCGUCGGCUAUAUGAAUCUAUUUACAGUAUCUUGUCCAAUAUAGGUUCAGAUUCUCCUCGAAUUUUGUUGGUGCUGCAUCAUUUUAGAUGAUGGCAGCUAUCCUGUCGUGUCUGACCGAACUGAAAUGGAAUUUUUUUAUUUUUUCUUAACACGAGUAAAAGUGGGAUUGGAAUAGGCGACGAGAAGGGACUGAGUUUUUACUUAUUCGGAGGUUUGGUAUACAGAGGACAAGGUUGGCUUGUUAUUAUUAGAUGUGUGAAUUUCAUUCUGCAUUGUGAAGCAUCCACUCACUCUUGUGAUUGAUGCUAGUACCCUUUUGGGACAGAUGGAUGUACAUGAUAGAAACAUUAUAAGCAUGAGCAUGGCUGUGCUUGAAGCUAAAAAGAAAAUGAGUUCUGAAGUUAUCAUUCAUAAUAUUUAGUUAGUCAUAAUUAGUUGCUUAGACCAUAGUUGAUGUCAGUAGGAAACAAUAAAUCAAAGAUGCUGGGCUUUAUUGAAUGUUACUCUGAAAAUCUCAUUACUAGUUCUUUUAUAGCUCUGAAAAUGAGGAAAUUUUAGCAGUUACCAGGAAAAGAAAAGGGAUUCUGAUGCCAUUUGUUCCGUGACAUGUAUUAGAAUCCAGAGAGAAGCAUCUUUCUUCAGGGCUUAUCAUAAAUUUAUUUGGGGAAGUUAGUAUGAAGCAGGUUCAGUAUCUGGUAUAUUUUAACUUUGUUAAGCAAUUGCAAGUAAACUGUAAACACUUGAUUAUCCCGAAAACAAGCGCUCACAGCUAUGGUCUUCCUAGUUACAACUGUGAGAGUUAGACAACCCCUGGCUCGUUUGCUAGUGUGCUUGAUGUUAUAAGAAAACUAAAGAGUGUCCAUAAUGGAGUGGAUGAAAUUGUUCCCUGGAGAAAAACAUCUGUUGAUAUGUCAUUUAUUUGCAGACAAGGAGGGUGUGUCAUCAGGAGAAGUGUUCCUCGGAAUAAUGGAAGAGAAGAAUGGUGUGGUUCUUGUUGGUAACAAUCAAACAACACAAGGGUAGGGUGUGGGUUGGCAAAUUGUUGAUUCAAGAUAAAAUCAUAAUAUGGAAGGGUUGCCUGAUCCUUUUACGCUACUACUUCCCUGUGUUUCUCAUAUUAAUACUAUUUCUAGUUUUUAUAGACAAUAAUAAAGAAUCAAUCGACGUGAAGAUUGAAAAUGACGAGCUUUUUCAUCGAUACCUUGUAUGCGGAGCCAUGAACUUUGGUGUGGGUUUUAUGUCUACUUGCAGUCUGAUUGAUUCAGUGAUUUGCAUAAAGAGCUUUUCAUUGAAGCCACAAUGUUAUAGUACUGCUAAUAAUCAGGUAGUCAUCACGUAAAGAGCUUCUAGCUUGAUGUCUCCAUUCUUGGCUUUGCAUGUCAUGUAUAUGUAAAUCAAUCUGUCAUGGAACUGGAAUCUCAGGUGGCCCUUUCAUGCAAACAUAUUGCUUGAGUUUGUGUUUAUCUCUUGUGGUAAAUUGUAUGCUGACAUUGAAGAUUGAUGACUGAAUGACUACGCAUGUUACAGGUGGUGGACAGGGUGGAGAGAGAGGGAGCCUGUAAUGGAGUCAUAAAUUGCAUGAAGGGAUGGAGGCUAUUUGUUCAUAGGACUUUGAAGUACAAUAACUAACAAAAUCUCCUACUUUUUUUUAUUUUUGUGCCACAGUUUAUUAUGAUGGAAAAAACUACUGCACUUGACAGGAAAAAAGAAAAAAAAUAUUGCCUUAUUAUUAUUAUUAUUACUGCUAAUUUCACCAUGUCAUGAUGUUGUCAUGAUGUUUGUCGAUCAUGGAGAUAUGUGCUGGAUCAUUUGUUAAAUAUUGUUUUUUUAAGUAUUUAUUAUUUAAAAAUGUAUUAAAAUAAUAUUUUUAAUUUUUUUAACAUUAGCCUAUCAAAAGAAUUUAAGAACAUUAAAAAAAUAAUUUAAAACAAAUUAAAAAAAAGCUAUUCAAUCCAUCACUUAACACUUUCUUUUAAAGCGUGAUUUGCCCUUAAAUUGUUAGGGCUAUGGCAAAACAAGAUCUUAACUACUAAUUUAAUAAGCAAAUUAAGCUAUGUAAUAAAGAAUAAUGGACAAAUUUUGAUAAUUAUAAUUUUUUAUUGUGGUAAUAAUUAUUUUUUAAAAUAUUUUUUUUUUGAAAAUAUAUUAAAAUAAUAUUUUUUAUUUUUAAAAAUUUAUUUUACACGGAAUGCUAUAAAGAAAUAAUUUAAAAUAUUUUAUUGAUAAAAUAAUUAGAGUUUUUGUUUUAUAUAUAUAAAAAUAAAAGGCAAUUCAGCCUUGUCUUUUAACUAUUCAAAUAAAUUUUGAAAUGAUGUUGUCUGUCUCUAAAAAAUUAAAACGAUAUGUUGAUAAGUAUUAUUUUUUUCUUAAUUAUUUUGGUUUGUCAAAAAAAAGGAGUAAAAUAUGUCAUUAAACCGACAAUUUUGGCUCCAAAUAAUUCCAUCACUUUUAUUUCAUUAGGAAUCAAAUAAAAGUCUUGGAGGUCGAGGUCUCCUCAAUACUUCCACAGGUAGUUUACAAGGACACCAGAAGGCCACAAGGGAAAUAAGGGCAUUGGCAGAAAAGCUCUUGCCUCCUGUCAUGGCUUACUAUCACUAAUAACCAGUGCUGUGAGAUAAAAUUACCAGUUACAUUUUUGUAAAUGGAAUUUACUCAUCUGAUAGCAAUCAAACUAAAACAUGCUUUUGCUUUGGAUAGAUAUCAUGGCACUAGCUAUUGUUUUUGUGUUUAAUUAAAGUUAAAUAUCCAUCUCAACAAAAGAACAAAACACUCAAUUGUGACAAUCAAGUGGGGAUUACUAGAGGUCUACUGCACAUAAAUUCUGGACACAAACCGCCUGAGUACCAAACACAGUUUGCAAAUCCAUUUGAGAGAUUAAAACAUCAUCCAUGAAAGGCUGAAGUUGAGGAAGCUGAAUCUCGGGUCAAAUAAAUCUUUGUCCUCAAAUCCCAUGAUGUAAAGAUUUCUCAGAACAAGUUUUAACAACCAAUAAACAAAUGAAAACAAUCAGAUAAAAAUCAUUUUACUCUAAAAUGGCAGUUCCUGCUAAAAGCAUUCUAUCCCGAGCAAUGGUCUUGUCUAUUCACAUGAAUUACAGAACAAAUGCAUCAUAAUGAAGUUCUUCAAAGCCGCUGAUCAAAUUUUACCAUUUGGUGAAACCAAAUAUAAAAGAGUGGAAAAAAAAAAGAAACGAAAGGGGGGAAGAAAGAAGUUUACAUGCAUUUAUGAUCUCCGAGAAACUAUGUAGUAUGAGCAUCAUGUGUCCGUGACGCCCAUAUACCAAACACAAGAAACCAGAAGACAAAUAAGAUAGCCCAGUAGCGAGCAGGUCCAUAUUUGAUUCUGGUGAGCACAAUCUGCAAGUUGUAAAAGCAUAAACAUCAGCCCAGUUUCAUUUAUGUAUCAGAAUUCAGAACCAACAUGCACCAAAUUUCCUUCAAUGUUUUGCUUUACACAAUUCUAAAUUUUGCAAAAUUUGUUUCUGUAAGAGAUUCAAAAAAAUCAAAGAAAUGGAAAAUGAGCACAGAUUUUAAUAAGAGAAUUAGAGCACAAGCAAAUUAAGUCAGCUCUCCUGCUAUGCAAAUCACGUGUUGGCACUACGAUCAGUAAUAUUCCCAACAUUGCCAUACACCAAGCAUUUACGCAGCCUUGACAUUCAAUCACUGCCGAAAACAUGCUACAAAACCUAAUUUCUUAAAAUGGUUUCCUAUUGUUCAAAAAAGAAAAACCUCAUUACUUGCAGGCAGAGAAUUCCAGAGAAUUUAAAUUUCAAGCUAAUGUUUUGUUCUAAACCAUCACAAAGAAGGAAGAAGGGAAUUAUAGCCUCACAACGGGCAUAAAGCUGCUGGAAUUCUCUAUAUUUAUAAUUGGACAGAAACUAACAAUUUGUAUAUCUUUCUGUUAGACUUCUUCUAAAUACACCCUUCAGUACUUUGACUCUAAAAUACACAACAAAGGCCACAAGUUAUGACCAUUAAAGAACAUACCAUAAACGAGAAACCAGGACCAGCUUUUACUUUUCAGAAUGUACAGAAAUUUCCCCAAAAUUAUAAAAACACAGAAGCAGCAACCGAUUGACCUAAAUAAAGAUAUAUUAGGACAAAAAAGACUACAAUGUUCCAAUGGUGCAACUUCGAAAAUCAGAAAUCUACAUUUACUUUUCCUCGAAUCAUUUGCCAGCACCACUUCAUCAACCAAAUUAAGAUUUCACUCAGCCAGGUGUAUCAACACUAUCUAUCGAAAUAGUUAUAUUGAACAGAAGAGCACCAUUCUAUAAUCACAGGUUUCUGUGGAAACCUGAGGAUCAUGAUACCUACCGUCUACCAAGGUACUUAGGUCACAACACAAAUAUGCAUAUGCAUCCAUAGAUCAAAAGCAGUUAUGCUGAAAUACAGAGUCAGAAAGACUAAGAGAAAGAAGUUACUUACAAAGCGAAAGAAGAUCACAACUGUUAGAGCACAAAUGCCUCCAAGGAGAAUAUGAAGACCACUUUUGGCAGUUUUCUGGAGACAAGAGCUGAAUAAGUUGCAUAAUAAAACACAGAAUUCAGGUAGCUAAAGUCAUUAGCAUUCUUUUGCAACCAACUAGCAUGGAAUAACAUGCAGAGGCAUACAUAAAAGAAUCCGGAGCAACAAACAAAUUAGACAAUAAAAUAUCUCCAAAAUGCUAAGUGAAUCAUCUGUGCACCUAACUACCAAUUCCUCUCAAAUGAAUAAUAGUAAGAAUAGAAGAUUUGCACCAUCACUUUGUUUUUUUCUUUAUAUAUAUAAUUUAACAGUUUUAGGGAGGACGAGUUUGGACUGACUACCUCCCUUUCAAAGAAGAGUUAUGCUACCAAUUUGGAUAUGCCUUAACCAUUGGAAUUUCAUAUGGUGUAUGUGAAUGAUGACAAUGUUUCACAGCAUACAUCCUUCGCAAAACUUCCUAUAGCAAAGCUCAAGUUAUUGUGAUUCAUUUAAUAGCUAGACAAGAAAGAGAAAUAAGCAAUAAGGACUAAAGAUGGGAGAGAAUUGGCAGCAGGUCAAUGCUCAAACAAGGAUCUCCAAAGCUCUUCUAUUAAUUAGUAUCAAAGUUACUUCUGUUAGUAAUUUCAUCUCUUUGAUAGAGUUCACUUUCGCCCAAAGUGCUACAUCAGAAUUUCAUCAGUCUUAACACCAGCAAAAAUAAAUAAAUAUUGUAUAAAAGGCUCCAGCAUGAUUUUCUGGAUUUCAUUUUCAUAGCAUCAAAGAGAAAGCUUGGAGCUAUAUUCUACUUUACUAUACAGUGUAGCGUGCAAAACUAACUAAAAAUUCCUAGCCUGCAAAAUCCAAGCAAUAAUCUUUCAAAAAUGAACGUGUGUGUGUGUAAGUGAGCAGGGGGUUGGCACUAAUAGAAUGAGCAGGCAUAGUAAAUAGCAAACCAUGAAAAUGUUUAAAAGUACAGCUCCAGAUGAACCAAGAAUCAUUACACCAAACAGGUUCAGAGUGCAUCAAGAAAUAAUCCAUCCUCUUAUAAUGUCCGAGAGUGCCAUUUUGCUCACAAGCACCAAAUAUGACACAAAGUGUCAGUUGGCUAAAGAAGCCAAUUAUUCCAACUACCAGCAUCCAUGCCAGCCAGACAACAGCACAACUGAUUUGAAAAGAUCCAACACACCUUGAAUAGGAAACACAAAGCACCAAAUCCAAAGUAGCUAGACAAUAAAUGCAUUCAAAAAUUCACCAACACUCCACCCCAUUUACUGAUAGCAAGAAUGGUUUUCCUAUUCAUUCAUCCAUAAGAAGCCAAAUCCUCUAACCAGUUGCAGUCCUAAAGAAAGAAGCUAUACUUAGGAAGCCCAAGGGCACCAGAUAUCCUUCAAAGGAUAAUCUGUCCCCAAAAGCACUCAAAAACUCAGCGUUAGUAGCAUGCCCCUAAAGCCUAAAGUGCAUCUUCUCUAUGCCCUUCCAUCUGACCCUAGCCCAUUAAAACAGUUCGGAAGGUUCACUAUUAAUCCAGAUCCCUUGUUUUCAUGGUGUCAUCCCCCCCACCAUCCAGCAACCACCUAUGAUUAACUUUGAUAAAUCUCAAAUUCUAGGGAAUACCACCAUCAACACUUGUUGUGUGUCAUUGAUCAGUUCACAAACAUUAUGCCAAAUAGGCAAUGCAGUUGAGAACAUUCCCAACCUUCCAACUAAAGAAUUUAUAUAAGCAUAGAAGACUGACCAGCAUAAAAAUAUUCACCUUGUGAAGCAUCAGAACUCAGAAGCAUGGCACAACUGACAUCACAAAUAGAUUUAUAAACCAAAUAGAAACAAGACAAAAAGUUAACUCCAAACAGUUACGAGUACACAUAUCAAAACCUUCUAAGGGAUUCUGACCAAGCAAAAGUUAUAUAAAAAAAUUACAAAAAGUCUCCAUGAUGACAGAAUUAUAACUGAUUAAAGCUCAGGUCUCAAAGACUCAGGUUUCCCCAAAAAAAAAACAUAACUUCUGAGAACAACAAGAUCAAAGGGUUGGCUAGACAGACAAACUAAUGUUCAAGCCUCAUACAGCAUAACCAAGUGAAUUGAGGAGAUACAUGUGUGUGAACAUGUAUGUAGAUAAAUUGCAAAGACACACAUGCACAAAUGCAUGUACAAGAAUGGAAACUAAAAACUCAUAUGUAAUAAUUUAUCCUCGGACAUUCUUGGUUUUAUUCUUUUUGAUGUGAAGUCAAAAUCACAGUAGCCAAAGCAGUCAAAGACUCCAAGUUCAGAAAAACAUUAGAAGAUGUAUCUGCCAUUGUCAGUCAUCACACAACAGGAGGUGGCUAAAAGAACUCUUAACACGUUCUAGUUAUGACACUCAGGAUGUCAGACAUCGAAAGGGUGGUCUUUAUAUGGAUUAUGGGCUAAUCCACCCAGUACCUCAAACUUUGGGUUGUAGAACUCCAAAUGUGGUCUAAAGGUCUGGUUCAAGGUGCGACCAGACUCCAUGUGUCUAAUUUGUUUUGUUUGGGCCACCUAGAAGGCCAUUAGACUUGUUUCUAUUGGAAACAGAGUUUUAUAUAUGCACAGCCAAACAACAUGCAACAAUACAAGAAAAAAUGUUAAUUU